rnacentral:misc_RNA from 1 species
CUCGGCCGAGAGGAUGCCAGUGUGUAAGUGUGCAUUACUCUUGUUUUCAUAGUUCUUUCCUCCGACUCUUUGUGGUUUUUGCAUUGGUCAGCUUCAUAGAUUGCAUUUUGUUGGUUGGUGGCAGGUUUUCUUUGGAUUGAUGUUGAUAAUUGUGUGAGUUUUGGUACUUGUGUGGAUUGUCAUUGGAGUCGGCUUGUGCUUCCUGGCCUGAGAAUGAAAACUCUUUAAUUAUCUAACGUUGCAAUUUCCUGAGUUCAUACUUUUGUGAUUUUGAUGGUAUUGUUAUUCACAGUUUUACAUCCAGUGCUAAAUCCAUAAAGUUACAGAAAAGAAUAGGAGACAUUCUGGUGAUGCUUUUAGUAUUGGAUUUGAAAUAAAAAUUGUAUUUUUGUGCGUUGGAUCCAUAUCUGUGCUAGAGUAGGUAGAUUUUAGAUAUACGUUGUAAUUUCCUUGGAUCCUUUUAUGACCAUUGAAUUGUUUGGAGAUAGGCUCACAGGCAACAACUUUAGUGAUGUGUGGAAUGUUGUUUCCUGGAGCAUUUUUCACUGUUUUAUGUUUUUCCUCUUGUAAAAACAUUUCGAUCUGUUUUCAUUCCUUUCAGCCCUUUUUUGUUUGAUGGGGCUGCAUAAUUUAUGUUUAUUGUCAAAAACCUCACCAUUGGUAAGAAUAACUGUGUUUGGGUGAUACCUUGGUAUGCUUUGAUGGGAGUAUAUUUUAUAAUGCUGAGUUUUCUUAUUUACUAUCAGUAAAAUAAGUGUGUUCAUUCUUCAUUCAUAAGCAUUAAUUAGGUAUUGCCACUUAGAAUUCCCUCAAUUACUUUAGUACCUUCAAUUACUUUAAUACAAGUGUUUCUGUUGGUUAUGAACCUCUAUAUGUAUCCCAUAUGAGUCUAGGAUGUGUUUUGAUUCCAAUCUUGUUUACCGGUCUUUUCAGCUGCUAAUCUUAACCCUGUCAUCUUUUUAAUACUUGUUUUCUAUGACUGCUGCUAGUCCAACAUUGGCUACGGCACCCUUACAUAACUGCCCAUGUGUAAUAAUUUUCGCUUCUCAAAUGCUACCACAUCAAAAGUUAUGCUGCCACAUUUCACAGAGUCAUUUUUUUUUUGAAAGGCAU